CUAGAACUGGAAAUGGGUAGAAGGAAGAAAAAAAAUGGCAAGAAGAACCGAGAGAAAGAAAGGAGAAGAGGAGGAGAAGAAUGAAGAAAAAGCGAAGAAGAUGAAAGAGAAAGGAAAUAUGAAACACUAGGAAACUAGAAGCUGGGAACUAUUCCAUCUUUUCUCCAAUUUAAAGUCCUGUUUAGCUGUAAUAUAAGGUAAGUUAAGAACUUUAAUUUGGUUGAAAUUUUCUCUUUUGAUCUAAAGUUUUAGUGGAGUUGGGAAUAGUAAUAAAGAAAAGCAUGACAUUGAAGAGUGAUGGAAACUAAAGAGCGGUAUGUGUUUGUGAAAUUGUCAUAGAGAAAUUAGUCAUUAUGGGAGUUUAGUGUAGCUUGCUUAUUUGCAAUUACCAUUUAAUUAAAUGAACUUGUGAUUAAAGAACCAGAAAUUAAAAUGGAAAAUUGGGCAUUUAUACGUAUAGUGGCAAACAUGUAUGUAAGAAACAAGGAAAGGAAAUUGAAUAGGUAGAAAGACAAUUGAAAAUUCUAUACGUAUAAAAGUAAAAAGAUGUUGGGUUCUUGCUUCAGCCAACCAAACUGGAAAAGGAAAGAAAUGUUUUGUAUCAUUUUUUUAAUACUUUGGAAUGGGAAAUUGUAUAUAUAUUGGCAUAUGGAUAUGUGUGCUCGCUUAACUAAACUGGAAAGAUAAAAAGGAAUGAGAAAUAGUUGAGACUUUGAGGUUUGCUAUUCAUGUAUUUGUUAGGAAAUUGGAUUCAAUAGUUAGUAAUUCGAAUAAAUAAUUAAUUUUUCAGGAGAUAACAAAAUUGGGAAUGCUUGUUGGCGGAAUUAAUCUUUGUUCAGUACACAGUCCUGUGAGUGGAUAUGAAAACUUAUUUUCAGAGAUUAGUAUUUAUUAUGAUUUCAUACAAUUGAUUUUGACAGCAUGAUUUUUAGAAUGAAGUGGAUUUAUAAUCAGAUAUUUUUAAAAUUUAAUUUAAUUCAAUUAAAUCAUUUGAUUAGCAUGUUAUUUGAAUAUAACUGUUUUAGCAUAGCUAAAGUUAUUUUUAAAACCACCAAAAAGUACCAGGUGAUUUUACCCCGGUCUGCACUAGUGUGAACAUGUUUCCAUAGUGUAUGAUCAGUUAUGGUGAUUUUAUCCGUCUGUACUUUUGUGAAUGUGUUUUCAUAAUGUAUGAUCAAAUUAUCAGAGGUCUUUGGGGCCCACUCUUGUACACAUAUAGGCUUUGGGCUGUGUACUAGAGUGAUUAGCCUUUGGGGCAACUCUGCGUACAUAUGAACAGAUUAUCAGAUUAUCAGAUUUGAAUGGCUUUGCCUAGUACAUCGAGAUUACUUCAUUGGGUACCUUUUUGGUGUGAUUUUCAGUAUCUCUAUAGCUUAUCAGAUUUUAGAUUAUAGAAUUCAGUCUAUUCAGUUCUCAGAAUAAAGCUUCCAGCUUAUAGUAUUGAACAUCAAUAUUUCACAGUUUUUCAUAGAUGUCAAAUUAUUUAUAUUCGUUAUAUUUUACAGUUAAUGAACUAAUAUAAAGAACAAAUAAUGUUAUGAUCCAAUCAUGUUUUAAUUUUAAAACUAUUGCUAGUAUUCAGAAUUUCUCAAAGUUUUAAUAGAAUAAGAAUUUUCAAAAAAUAUGCAUAAAUAAGAAAAGUUUACUUAUGUAAAUUAUCCACUCGCUGAACUUUAAACUCAUAUAUUUUUUUCACAUUUUUCUUUUCCAGAUAGAUAGUAGCUGAAUUGAGUAGUUUUGGAGCUUGUCGAACCGUCGAAUUGAGUCACGCAUCAUGGGUUGUAUAACAUAUUUUAUCAGAUUAUACAUCGUGUUCUUUUGGGAUACACGUAGGUUAAAUCAGAAAAGUUCAUCAUGGGCUCAUUAGAUAUUUGGUAUCUUUAGUGUAUUUGAGGAUUGUUGGUUGUAAGGCAAGUAAACGUUGACUUUUCAGCAUUUUAUUUGAAUAGUUUGUAUUUUAAAGGACUGUCGUACCCUAUUUAUAUUGUAAGUAUUGAUUUGAAAAAAAAAAUUGAUUAUUGUUCAGGUGAUUUAGUCCAUAUUUCAGGGAAAACUCUGCCAAAAUUUUGUUAAAAAUAUUUUUCAGUUAAGCUAGUCAAAGUUGACUUGGUGGUGGGUCUGACAUUUAGCUGGUAUAUAUCACCGGCGCACGACACGUGUCGAGUCUAUUAAAGUGAUUCGGGACGGGUCGUGUCAAUUGGUAUCAGAGAAGGGUUCGGUGGUUGUUAAGCUCGAGUAAUUCAUAAAUUUUUUUUUCAGAAUAGCAUGUCUUUAAUAUUAUUAAUCGUGACGUGGUGGCGGAACUCAUAGGCUCCAAUGUAGUAUUUGAAACUCAUAUUGCCUAAUAAUGAGGAUUUGGCAGCUAAGAAAUAAGGACCUUUAUUGAUUUGAGCAUAAUAAGUAUGAGGAGUUAUUGAGAAUUAUCCGAUGGUAAGGGAGUUGUUAUGUUGGCACCAUGUUAUAUUUUAUUUAAUAUAUUAAUAAUUGCACUAUAUAUCCAGCAGGCAGUUAAGUAAAGAGUAUAACUUUUCUUAGUAAUGAGAUUUAUUGGGUUAUGAGUUUCUUUUAUGACUAUUAGAGGGAAUGUCUUGCAGAAUCGUUGGAUGAUUAGUAUUAUCUAAUAUUGAUAUAUUUAUAGUUGGUGACAUUACAAGGUGAAAUCAUGAUUACUUUGUAAAUCUAAAUGAUUGAAUUAUUAUGGGCACUUGUAAUCAUAUUUAGUAUAUGGAGGAAGAUGCAUACAUUAGAAAAUCAAGAUGUGGAGACAUAGUAAGGAAUCUUGUUCGUGGCAGAAAUAAUGAAACCAUAUGGAAUGUUGAUUCAUGACGAAAAUGAUGUUACUAAAUAUGUCUUACCUUGCGAUUUUGAGUGAGUUAAUGUGACUGUGGUCCAACCUUUGUUGAAUCAGGAAGAAUUAAGUAUUUAGGCAUAUGAUUCCAUUAAUAUUGAAGGAAAUAUUAAGAGUUUAAUUGCUCGAUUUGGGUUUAUGAAAAUAAGUUAUGAUGAAUGAAAAAUGAGGGAAAUAUUUUUAGCAAAUUCAGAAAUAACUAGUAUGUAAGUGUAUCAGUUGCAAUGAUUUAAUGGUUUAAAAUGUUAUAAGUUGUUGGAUUUGUACAGUGGUGUAUGUAAUAUAUUACUCAAUAAGAGUGCAAUUGGGAACAGAUCAGUUUAGAAUUAGAGUUUUAACGAUUUUGUAGGUUAUCUAUCAAUAUACAUUCGAAGGAUGGAGUAACAGUUGCCUAAGUAUUGAAUUAUAUGUGAGAUUAUAUGAUUUUUUUUAACGUAAAUAUAGGAAAAUCUCUUGUUAUAAUUAGCAUGAAAAAUAAAAGGGAAUGAUAUGAUGUGUAAUUGAUGACAAUCAUUCGAGGAAUCUUAAUGAUUUUGGGAAACUAGAUGAUCAUUAGUAUAAUUGGAGAUUGAGGUAAUUUGUAGCCACUCAUAUUGGAAUAUGAUAGAAAUUAUGGUGCUGAGUAUCUAUAUAUAUAUGAUAAGAAUCAUGUGGUUGAUUAAUGAUGAUAUUAUACUGAAUAUUGAUCGGUAGAGAAUAAUGUGUUAUUAUGUAUGUUAUUCAUUGAGGAAAUUGACAUUUAUGUGACUAAUAUUAUUUUGAUUAUUUACGAGUUAUUUGAUUAUAAGAGAUGUGAAAAGAUAUGGAUAAAUUUCACAAGGACUACUUAUUGUGGGGGUAAAUUGUUGUUUAAGAAAGAAAAUAUUGACGGUGUAUCUAUGUUAAUUGCGUAAAAGGUAUGAAAGGAAGGAGUUGAAUAAAUGCACAUGGAUCGUCAUUCUUGAGUUAUAGUAAACUAAUUAUAUAUUGAAUUAAAGAAUGGCAUAGUUCAAAAUUAUGGUGAUUGAAAAUUUUGCAUAAGGAAUCUUGAUGGUAUAUUAAUGUGUGAAAUGUUGCUUGAUAGUUAUAAAGAGCACUAUUUUUGUGAUCCUAAAGAAAUAGGUAUAAUCAAAUAUUUGAAGUUAUACAAUGUGACCAUAAAUUACAAGGUUAAAUGAUAUGGUGAAUAACAAGUGAAGAAAUGUUAUGGUCAUCCCAUAGCCAAAUAAUGUGAUGUGAUAUUCAGGUUAUUAAUUAACCUUGUCAAGGCCAUUUGUGGAUUAUUAUAUUAUAUUACAUACAAUCUAGAAGCUUCAAGCUAAAUUUGGAAGUUAAGGUGAAUUUAAUGAAUUUCUAGAAGUGUAAAAUUUGGGAGAUUUUCCAUUAUAUUUUUGGAUCUCUCGAAUAAAGUAUUCCAUUCUGAUCGAGAUCUAUAUGUUGUGGAACAUAUGGAGGAUGUGUUGGAUAAUUUAAAGUCUAAGAUGAUAAUCGAAUGUAAAUUUUAUUUAAUUAUGGAAUGAUAUCUUUAGGUUAUAAUCUUAAUUGAAGGUCUUUGUGCAAUAUACAAAAAGGCUUAUGCAUUGGAAAUAGAUCAAUGGCCUCUUUAUGAAAUAAGAGUAUAGAAUUAUUAUGGAUUAAAUGUUAUUAUUGUAUUUGCAUAGAAAGAAAGAGCACCAAAAUCGUGUGAGUUUAGAAAUGUCAAAAGCUUUGCUAUCAGACUACAUUAUGAUGGAAUAUGUACUCUCGUAUCUAAAUUUGAUGAGGGACUGAUUUAUGAUAAUGAAUAAUCUUAAGGUUUAGAAAGUAUUCUGAAUUAAAUGAUGAGUUAUGGAUAAUAUUAUAGAUUGUUAAAGAGGUAUGAUUAAGACAUGUUUUAUUGUUGGUUAUAUUGGUGUUGGAGUUUGAAAUUGUGGUGUUAUAUCCUUGCGAGAAACAUCAAUACUUAUAUAUAUCCGUAGUUUAAGGUAUAUUUCAAUUUGAAAGGGUUGAAAUUGAAGUUGUGUAUAUAUUAUUAUUGGGUGAUAUAGAACUAAAAGAAAAGGAACAUCAUAUUGAGUUAUCUCAAUUGUUGUUGGGGGAUAACUAGAAUUUUAGAGAACCAUGAAUAAUUGAAAUUUUUGCAGAUAAUGUUAAUUUAAAAUGAAAGUAGUUACCCUCAAAUAUUUUUUCAUUUGGGGUUCCAAAUAUACAAAAUGGUAUUUGAAUCAUUGUUGAUGGAUCGAUAAAAGUUACAAGAAUUCUUUUCAAAUGAUAUAGUCAGUUCAUGAGAUAGAAUUAUUAAAUUAUAUUAAGAUAAGAUUUCCGUUUAUAUGGAGUUUGAGUAUCUAUAUUUGGUUUAGGGAGUUAUAUAACUAAAUUACAUUGUGUAGCUUCUUAGAAUGUUAGAAACUAUGAGGAUAAGUUCAGGAGAGAGACUAUCAACUGUGGUUCGUUAAGUAAAGGGUACUUGAAUAAUUAUCUAUUUUUCAUGGAAUUGACCUGUAGGGACUAGACACAAGUGACGAUAAUUGAGGUUUUACAUGAUAUUGAAAUAUUCCAAGGACAUAUUUAUUGUGAUGAAAGUGGUGAUCGAAUGUUAUUCGAUUUUAGUAUGUAACAAUUGUUAUAGAAAAAGGGAUAUGACUGGAGAAUGGUUCAAAUCAAGACGUAAGAUGAAGUUUUGGAGAAUGUGAAUAGUAUCCUAAACUUCAAAUUGGGAAAUAGCUGAAUUUAAAAUUUGGGUCAAUUGUUUAAUGAUGGAGUUUGCAACAGUUCUAACGUUUAAGAAAAGAUAUCGAUAUAGGAAAGGUUAAGGAAAAUCCAAGAACAAGAAAGAAUGAAUUUUGUGCAGUUAAAUUAGCAAUCAGUAGAAAAGACAUCACGGGCAUAUGAGGAUCAAGUAUGCUAUGUGCUCUAUAUCUCGAUAUAUUUGAAUCCUAGUUGAUUGAAUUUCGAGGACGAAAUUCUUUGAAGGGGGUAAGAUUGUUACAUCCCAUUUUAUACUUAGUCAAAGUCCAAGUCAAAUAGGAACUUAAAUUGUAUAAAUUAUUUUAUUGGGAUUUAUUUUAUAAUUAACAUUACUCAAGGGUUUUAAAUGGCCAUCAUUAACCUUGGGGAUAUAGAUUAUAAAUAUGGAAAGAUUAAUGACUAGAUUUUAUGCAAAACAUAAUAGAAGGGACUUGAUAGCAAUUGUGGGAGUUGGUAGAAUACAAGUGGCACUUUGAAAACCGUUAUCUUCAUUUUUCACACACGCAUACAUAUACUAGGAGCUGGAAACGGGUAGAAGGAAGAAAAAAAAUCGUAGGAAGAACCGAGAGAAAGAAAGGAGUAGAGGAGAAGAAGAAGGAAGAAAAAGAGAAGAAGAUGAAAGAUAAAGGAAAUAUGAAACACUAGGAAACUAGAAGCUGGGAACUAUUCCAUCUUUUCUCCAAUUUAAAGUCCUGUUUAGCUGUAAUAUAAGGUAAGUUAAGAACUUUAAUUUGGUUGAAAUUUUCUCUUUUGAUCUAAAGUUUUAGUGGAGUUGGGAAUAGUAAUAAAGAAGAGCAUGACAUUGAAGAGUGAUGGGAACUAAAGAACGGUAUGUGUUUGUAAAAUUGUCAUAGAGAAAUUAGUCAUUAUGGGAGUUUAGUGUAGCUUGCUUAUUUGCAAUUACCAUUUAAUUAAAUGAACUUGUGAUUAAAGAACAAGAAAUUGAAACGGAAAAUUGGGCAUUUAUACGUAUAGUGGCAAACAUGUAUGUACAAUUGAAAAUUCUAUAUGUAUAAAAGUAAGAAGGUGUAGGGUUCUUGCUUCAGCCAACCAAACUGGAAAAGGAAAGAAAUGUUUUGUGUCAUUUUAUUAAUACUUUGGAAUGGGAAAUUGUAUAUAUAUUGGCAUAUGGAUAUGUGUGCUCACUUGACUAAAAUGGGAAGAUAAAAAGGAAUGAGUAAUAGUUGAGAUUUUGAGGUUUGCUAUUCAUGUAUUGGUUAGGAAAUUGGAUUCAAUAGUUAGUAAUUCGAAUAAAUAAUUCAUUUUUCAGGAGAUAGCAAGACUGAGAAUGCUUGUUGGCGGAAUUAAUCUUUGUUCAGUACAGAGUCCUGUGUGUGGAUAUAAAAGCUUAUUUUCAGAUAUUAGUAUUUAUUAUUAUUUCAUACAAUUGAUUUUGACAGCAUGAUUUUUAGAAUAAAGUGAAUUUUUAAUCAGAUAUUUUUGAAGUUAAAUUUAAUUCAAUUAAAUCAUUUGAUUAACAUGUUAUUUGAAUAUAACUGUUCCAGUAUAGCUAAACUUAUUUUUAAAACCACCAGAAAAUACCCAGGUGAUUUUACCCCGGUCUGCACUGGUGUGAAUGUGUUUCCACAGUGUGUGAUCAAUUAUGGUGAUUUUAUCCGCUCUGCACUGUUGUGAAUGUGUUUCCAUAGUGUAUGACCAGAUUAUCAGAGGUCUUUGAGACCCACUCUCGUACACAUAUAGGCUUUAAGUCGUAUACUAGAGUGAUUAGCCUUUGAGGUAGAUCUGCAUACAUAUGACCAGAUUAUUAGAUUAUCAGAAUAUUAGAUUUGAAUGGCUUUGCCUUGUACAUCGAGAUUACUUUGUAUUGAGGCUAUUCAUUGGGUACCUUUUUGGUGGGAUUUUUCAGUGUCUCUACAGCUUGUCAGAUUUUAGAUUAUAGAAUUCAACCUAUUCAGUUCUCAGAAUAAAGUUUCCAGGUGAUAGUAUUGUAUAUCAAUAUUUCACAGAUUUUCAUAGAUAUCAGAUUAUUUAUAUUCGUUAUAUUUUACAGUUAAUGAAAUAGUAUAAAGAACAAAUAAUUUUAUGAUCCAAUCAUGUUUUAAUUUUAAAAGUGCUACUAGUAUUCAGAAUUUCUCAAAGUUUUAAUAGAGCAAGAAUUUUCAAAAAAUAUGCAUAAAUGAGAAAAGAUUACUUAUUUGUAAAUUAUCCACUCCCUGAGCUUUAAGCUCAUAUAUUUUUUUCACAUUUUUCUUUACCAGAUAGAUAGCAGUCGAAUUGAGCAGUUUUG
rnacentral:lncRNA from 1 species